rnacentral:lncRNA from 1 species
CUAAAGGGUUGUCUUCUUUAGGGUUGUCUUCUUUAGUUCGUCUUCUUUAGUUCCCCUAAAGGGGAUAAACCAAAGGGGUGUUCCCCNCUUCUUCCCCUAAAGGGGGACGGAGUCCCCUAAAGGGGAAGAAGGGGAUGAACCAAAGUCUUCGUCCCCUAAAGGGGAACCAAAGUCUCUUCUUCGUCUCUUCUUCUUCCCCUUUAGGGGACUCCGUCUUCUUUAGUUCCCCUAAAGGGGAUGAAGAAGUGCUCCCCUUCUUCCCCUUUAGUUCAUCCCCUUUAGUUCAUCCCCUUUAGGGGAACUAAAGGGGAUGAACUAAAGGGGUGAAAACGAAGGGGAAGAAGAAGGGGUUCCCCUAAAGGGGAAGAACACACCCCAAAGUCUCUUCUUCUUCCCCUUUAGGGGACUCCGUCUUCUUUAGUUCCCCUAAAGGGGUGAAAACGAAGGGGAAGAAGAAGGGGUUCCCCUAAAGGGGAAGAACACACCCCAAAGUCUCUUCUUCUUCCCCUUUAGGGGACUCCGUCUUCUUUAGUUCCCCUAAAGGGGAUGAAGAAGUGCUCCCCUUCUUCCCCUUUAGGGGACUCCGUCUUCUUUAGUUCCCCUAAAGGGGAUGAAGAAGGGGGUUCCCCUAAAGGGGAAGAACACACCCCUUCUUCCCCGUUAGUGUUCUUCGUCUUCUUUAGUUCCCCUAAAGGGGAUGAACCAAAGUCUCUUCUUCUUCCCCUUUAGGGGACUCCGUCUUCUUUAGUUCCCCUAAAGGGGAUGAAGAAGUGCUCCCCUUCUUCCCCUAAAGGGGAAGAAGGGGUUCCCCUAAAGGGGAAGAACACACCCCUUUAGUUCANN